UCGGGCUCUGAGCCUCUACUUGCAGAGCUAAGCGCUGCCCCACAGAAGGUAAUGUGCCGUAGUGGUACAGACAGCCUCAUCAUGGACAUAAGAUUGUUUUUUCGAAGAAAAGAGCCAGGUUCAGCUGAAUACAAUCUAUUUGUGUAUGAUUGUCAGUCCAAAGAGGAAGAGAUGAAAAAGGGGAAGGAGAGGAGAGAGUGCAAAGUCAGGAAGAACCAGGAAGAGAACAAGGAGAGACUCUGGGAGAUGAGAGCGUGCAGACCAGGGAAAGAAAUGCUCUGCAUCACAUUUCAAAUAAAAGUCAAAAAAUAAGUCCUAGGUCCAUUUUUGUUUUUGUUUUUUUGGUGCUUGGUAUAGGGGGCCGGUUUACUCCAGAAACAUACAUGCUGUUUAUGUGUAUGUUGAGGAGCUGCUGUAUCUAAAUGAGUCGUCUUUUCCCAGAAAUUAGGACAACGAUAUGUUUCUUUUAAGAUUCCAGUGCAUUCCUCCUUUGCGGUGAUUCAGCAUUUAAAUAAACUUUAUCAGAUUGGAUGGUUUAGUCACAGACCUUUUCAAAAAGUGUUAUGCUUUUCUUUCACAAAUGUGGGAGUGAAACUGCAUUAAAACGUA